GCUGUAGCUCAGCGGUACAGCAUCUGCUUUGCUUGCAGAAGGUCCCAGGUUCCAGCUAGAGCUGGAAGAAACUCCUGCCUGAAACA